CUGCUCCACUUGACCUUCCAAAUCUUGCAUUAAGUCUUUUGUGGACAGGACAUGUAGUUCAGUGAAGUUACCCUGACCCUGACCCAAUCUAAAUCUUAUAAACACAAACAUGUGUAUAUGUAUGUAAUAUACAUACACACAAAUGAACAUAUACAGAAAAACAUACAUACAUGUGUGUCUGUGAUUUGGAUUAUGUCGCUAUAGAUUGACUGAAUCUAUAAACCGAAUCAAUAUAGGCUGACAUGUCCUAGAAUUCCCUUCCUGGUCCAUGAGAUCAUCUUUAUGUAUAUACUAGAAACAGAAUUACAUAUUUACUACUUUUGGAGAAGCUCUACUACAAAGAAUAACGACCAUUAUGGAGCACGUGUAGUGUGCAGAUUGCUCUACAUACAUUAUAUACUUUUAUCCUGAAAUGAUUUUAUGAAUAGGAUUAUGUCACCAUUUCACAGAUUAGGAAAAUGAAGGCAGAGAUGGUAAGUGACUGACUUGUCCAAGAUUAGAUGUUACAAGGAGGUAGAAAAAGGGCCUCAAACCCCAAAGCCUGUGCUGGUAGCUUGUAUUGUAAAUCUACGUAGCAAUCCAAUAAGAUGAAAAUAAAAAACAAACCUAAAAAAUAGAAAUCGUAAAUUACCAGGACAUAUUUAAAUUACCAAUUAAAGAAUUUUAAAAACAUGGCAAUGUUAAACAAAUUGAAAAUCCUCUGAGAGAAAUAACUUCUCAAAUCACAUUCUAAAGAUUUUAAUCUCAUCUGUGUAGGACUCUCUUUAAUUUGCACUGAGUAUACACACUCCUAAAAUAUAUGCCAACAACAUGCAAAUGUUUACUGACUUCAAUUACAAAAAAAGGAGGCAUCAGAAUAGCCUCGUGGAUCAGAGACAGGCUGGUGGAUGCAAAGGGAGGGAAUUUGACAGAGGGAGGGAAAAACAGGAGGGAGAGAUUGAAAGAGACUGAAUGCAACACAGAGAGAAGGCCUGAAGCUGAGGGAGACAAAUGCAAAUGCUCAUCGACUCUGUAAUGAAAAAUCUCCUUAUUAAACUGUGCUUUAUCUGAGAACAGUCUUCCUUUUAGGAACAUAUCCAAGCAGAGAUAAAGGCAUCUUACUAUCCUCAUUAAACUGUGCAUGGUUUGAUGCAAUCAGACUUGUGUAAUUUGCAUAUGGAGCGGUUUAAUCUAGCUCAUCCUGUCUUGCACCUAUUGUUAAUCAUGUCCAGGCUUCCCCUCUCCUUCCCCCCUCCUCCUCCACUAACCCUUUGAUUUAAGCAGAUAAAUGAAUAGACAUAAGGACAUCAACAUCUUUGUGAGUGAUCAUCAGCCUUGUACAUUCAGAAUAUCCCUUGGUUGGCUGAUUAUGCCUUGGAAGGCAUUCCAUAUGGUUUUGAUAGUGUCCAUCUUGGCCAGUUUAGAAAAGGCUGCAUAAGGGCAGUCCGAGAUGACAGAAAAUCAUUAUUAACAUACACUGUGAGCUUAAGUCUCUAACCACCAUAAAUAAUAAGAUAGGUGUUCUCACCUUAUGUAUUGGCUGGGAGCGCCUUCUAGCAAAGCAUCUUGGCAUCAGUGUGCCAGGUUUGACUGUAUAAAGAGGCUUUGAAGAAUGUAUGAAAACUUUGUAAUUACUUCUUGGCAGUAAGUAAUAUGCAGUUAUGAAGAUGGUUGCGAUUUGAUGUUCAAUGUGUUGGUCUCGGAUGAAUAUGAAAAGAACUGUUCAAAGUCUUUGGUCAGUCCCAUGGCUUCCUGCUUUUUAUAUCAAAGGGGAUAAGCAUGGACAGUGAGCAAAGGGAAGCAGUGUAAGCUUUCCUCUACCUCCUAUCGUCUUUGCCACCAUUCCCCAAAUCCCAUGCUAUUCUUCACGGAUACACACACCCUCUCAGUGUUGGAGAUGGGGCGGAUUUAGGAGAGAAGAGGGUGGAUGUGUUCCUCGGGAGGGCAUCGCAUCCACUCAGAAAUGGAAGGGACCACUUACAGCGCCUGUGAAACGUCUUAAUCGUACCAUCCCCACCGUGUAUGUGGUUGCUUCAAAGGGCAGCUCCUGCCCUGAAGAGACGUUUGAGAAAAUGUGCAAAUAUACCUCAUGGUGGGGCUCUGAAGCACUUAGAAGUGUGAGGCAGAUAACAUCUAACAUUUUAAGUCAGUUCUUUACAGGACUCGUACUUGGCCCUGCACACCCCCUCUUCAGGUUGACUAUGGGGAAAGACACACCCGUAUGGUAGGUUCGAGGGCAAGGGAAUUACAGGAAACAGGGGUAAUCGUGAACCCUCUUCGGUCCAUCUGGGAGAGUCUUCCUGAGGGCUGACAGCCAGCCUGGACUUUGAAGAGGUGGGAAAGCAUAAGAAAAAGGCAACUCCAAGCUCUAGGAGUCAGUACAGUUUGGAGAAGUCAUUGGUGUUACGACAGUGAAAAAAGCUGAGACAGCAGAGAAGGAAGGAAGGCUGAGUGGGGAGAGUGAGUUCUUCACAGGGAGAUGAUGAGGUGAUCUUUUCUUUAGAAAGUAAAGGAGUCCGUUAUUGCUCUGCAUAGGGUUUAUCAAUGCACCAACUUUCUUCAUUUCCCUCUGUAUCUUCAGGAUGUGGAACUAAAUACAGGAUACAUUUGGAGUUUGAAGUUAAAUACACAUGGGUGUCCAAAUCUGGUUCUCCACAUCCAUCCAAAUAAUAAAUAACAACAGCAACAAUGAGAAUAGACAUUUAUGGAACAUGCACUAAGCAUCGAGCUAAAAGCUUUCUAUAAAUUAUCUUCUUUAAUUUUCCCUGAACACUAAGGCAGUUCUUAUUGUCAUCAUCUCUAUUUUCACAGAGGAUGUAACAGGCUUGGGAAGGUACCUUAGGUACCUUUCUCAGGGUCACUUGGAAAUGUAUUGGUUUUGGCUUUCUGAUAUCUACCACUGUUUCUUCGCUUCCUGUUAACCUCUGACUUCCAUCUGGGGAGAUGCAUUUCGUGUAGUCCUUGUGAGAGAGCAAUUCUUAGUGCCUGCCUCUUAUGUCUCCCUCUCAUGCCACGUCUGACUACGGAAGCUGUGUGUGGGGAGGAAUCCAGGGUUUAUGUGUUUGUGGUAUACCUAGGGCAGACAUGUGACCGGAGUUCAUCCUAUCAGUGCUGGAUCCCCAGAAUUUGCAUCCUAGUCACAAAAUGAAAAGCAUGCUGGGAGAAGAGAUUAAUUCCUGCAGUGGUGCAGCCUUGCUUUCAGUCCAAAAGGCUCAGAUGCUGGAUUUCCUUAGUUUCUGCCUACUCUCCAACCCCAGGCUUUGUGGCUUUCAUGGUUCCAGGUACCCCAGAUAUCCUUAAAAUAAAGGCCCCUUUUCCACAUGGCAAGAGGACAGUUGUCACCUUGCAUCUCAGGGCCAGAGCAUCACUUCAUUCUCCCACCGCCAAAAGCCUUUGUUCUCCCUUUGUGAUUUGCCGAUGGCAUCGGCUCACUUCUUCGCUGUACCCGUAUCAAUCCUAUCCACCGUCAAAUUUCAAAUCCUCUCAUGAUGGCUUUCCUGUAGCCCUGGCUGACUCUCUGUUACUAUAAUCAGUUGUAUCCAAGAGUGUGGCCCAGACCAUUGAGCAUCAGCACCUCGCCUUACACCCUCCAGUGCAGGCAUUCUAAACCCAUCAAUGCCUUGAUUCAUUCAACGAUAUUUGUGCUGUGACAGAACUCUGCUAGAUGCUUGUGACAAAUGGGAAAUAUGCUUCAAAUAGGUCACAUGUGUUUCCAAAGAGGAAGUAAGAGUGCCAGGCGAAAGUGUGAUGGGAAAUCUAACUGCAUCCUGGACCACGGAGGGGUCCGCAGGGUGUGGGAACACUCUAAAAUGUAUACGUAUCUGAACUUUUCUAAACAAGCCUCUGUAACUGCCAUCAGAUUGUCAGAGAUCCAUGACCCCCCAGUAUCAAGAACCAAGACCCUGAAUGUACAUACUUGUCUCUCUAAUUAGUGAAAUCUCCACGUUAGGGAACUGUCUUAUAAGAGAGCAUAUGGAAGGUUCUCAGCAGAUUCUUAUUGAUGACUGAGAGAUUCUGGGAAAUGAAAUCAUUUGCUUCAAAACGUUAGUCCACAGCGUCCUUCCAGGAAGAUGUUUUUCUAAAACUCGAAUUUACUCGUCAUGUCUGUGGCUUCAUAUCACGUUCUGCAGGACUGUUAUCGCCUGCGAUAAAAUCCCGGCAGUGAAAAAUUGAGAUCAUUUUUAACUUUUGAUCAUGAUUUUAGCUGGAAAACUGUACUUUUUCAGUGACAGCUGACUUCCUUUUUGGAUGUCAGGCUGUGGCCCCACCGUUUCUGUGAUCUUCCAGGGUGACUAGCAGGUAACCGCGUGUUUUAAUUUCAUCAUUGCCUCCGUGGGUAACUCGCUCUGCUCCCUCUAUCUGCUAUCAAGCUGAGAAGAAUACAAAAUACCUUUUCUCAUUCAUAAUGACUGCUAUCUGACCUCUGGGAGAUCUGAUUGAAAAACUGAGUCCUUCUGGCCAGACUAGGAAUCUGGAAAUUAGCUUUUUAUAGUUUCGAGAAGCCUUGCAAUGAAAGGAGAUGUUAGGAGAACAAGUGGCAACCAGGUCAGAAUCAAUAUUUAUUGGCUUAUUAAAGGAAAAGGGGUGUUGGAAACAAGUGUCUCUCGGCAUGUGUGGGCUGGGGAAUAUGAGUCUAUAUAUGCCAACUGCUGCCUGCCUGUGCAUACCAACUGUUAGGGUCAAGCAUUCUCAUUUUUCUUAUAUUUACAGUCUUUGAAGUUUCUCAUUUAACAUGCCACAGGGUGUGCACAUUAGCCAUUCAGGUGUUAAUGCAGCAAUUAUUACCCCAGAAAGGAUUCUUAGUUUGGGUUUCAUCUCUCUCUUUAUCCUACCGUUUCACCCCACACACACUUGUCUUUUCUCUCUUCCAGCAUUUAAUCUCUGUGGGGGACAUUCUAGUAGGAUUUUAAUCUUCAAAGACAGUCCAUCUCUGUGUCACAGAAGUCAUGGCUGUGCUCCUGAAUCAAUCUCUUACCUCAUUAAGGCACAGAGAUGCAUAGAUACUGAGGGUUCCGAGGAGAGCCAUUUCCCAGGGAAUGUGAGGGGGUCUGGGGGGUAUUGCUCAGCCCACCCCAUCCCUCUCUUUCUUGUCUUUCCUUCCAU
rnacentral:lncRNA from 1 species